rnacentral:rRNA from 1 species
GGAAGUAAAAGUCGUAACAAGGUUUCCGUAGGUGAACCUGCGGAAGGAUCAUUAUUGAAUAAACCUGGCGUGGUUGUAGCUGGUCCUCUCGGGGACAUGUGCUCGCCCGUCAUCUUUAUAUCUCCACCUGUGCACCCUUUGUAGACCUGGACGAUAACUUUCCGAGGCAACUCGGUCGGGGAGGACUGCUGGCUUUCACGAGUCGGCUUUCCUUGUAUUAUCCAGGCCUAUGUCUUACACAUACCCCAAAGAAUGUAACAGAAUGUAUUGUAUAUGGCCUAGUGCCUAUAAACUAUAUACAACUUUCAGCAACGGAUCUCUUGGCUCUCGCAUCGAUGAAGAACGCAGCGAAAUGCGAUAAGUAAUGUGAAUUGCAGAAUUCAGUGAAUCAUCGAAUCUUUGAACGCACCUUGCGCUCCUUGGUAUUCCGAGGAGCAUGCCUGUUUGAGUGUCAUUAAAUUCUCAACCUUAUUAGCUUUUGCUGAUAAUGGCUUGGACUUGGGGGUCUUUUUGCUGGCUUUCAUUAGUCUGCUCCCCUUAAAUGUAUUAGCCGGUGCCCCGCAGUGGAACCGUCUAUUGGUGUGAUAAUUAUCUACGCCGUGGACGUCUGCUAUAAUGGGUUUGCGCUGCUUCUAACCGUCUCUCGGGACAACACAAAUGACAAUUUGACCUCAAAUCAGGUAGGACUACCCGCUGAACUUAAGCAUAUCAAUAAGCGGAGGA